rnacentral:rRNA from 1 species
CCUACGGGAGGCAGCAGUGGGGGAUCUUGCACAAUGGGGGAAAGCCUGAUGCAGCGACGCCGCGUGGGUGAAGAAGCGCCUCGGCGCGUAAAGCCCUGUUAGCAGGGAAGAAAAUGACGGUACCUAAAGAAGCAGCUUCGGCGAAUUACGAGCCAGCAGGCGCGGUAUUACGUAGGGGGCAAGCGUUAUCCGGAUUUACUGGGUGUAACGGGAGCGCAGACGGCUGUGCAAGCCAGGAGUGAAAGCCCGGGGCUCAACCCCGGGACUGCAUUUGGAACUGGGUGGCUAGAGUGCAGUAGAGGAAGGCGGAAUUCCUGGUGUAGCGGUGAAAUGCGUAGAUAUCAGGAGGAACACCGGUGGCGAAGGCGGCCUGCUGGGCUGCAACUGACGUUGAGGCUCGAAAGCGUGGGUAGCAAACAGGAUUAGAUACCCGAGUAGUC